rnacentral:rRNA from 1 species
GUAGGGAAUAUUGCUCAAUGGGGGAAACCCUGAAGCAGCAACGCCGCGUGGAGGAUGACACUUUUCGGAGCGUAAACUCCUUUUGUUAGGGAAGAACAAUGACGGUACCUAACGAAUAAGCACCGGCUAACUCCGUGCCAGCAGCCGCGGUAAUACGGAGGGUGCAAGCGUUACUCGGAAUCACUGGGCGUAAAGGACGCGUAGGCGGAUUAUCAAGUCUCUUGUGAAAUCCUAUGGCUUAACCAUAGAACUGCUUGGGAAACUGAUAAUCUAGAGUGAGGGAGAGGCAGAUGGAAUUGGUGGUGUAGGGGUAAAAUCCGUAGAGAUCACCAGGAAUACCCAUUGCGAAGGCGAUCUGCUGGAACUCAACUGACGCUAAUGCGUGAAAGCGUGGGGAGCAAACAGGA